rnacentral:rRNA from 1 species
UACAGAGGGUGCGAGCGUUGUCCGGAAUUACUGGGCGUAAAGGGCGCGUAGGCGGCUUGGUAAGUCGGGGGUGAAAGUCAGCGGCUCAACCGCUGGACUGCCUUCGAGACUGCCUGGCUUGAGCAUGGUAGAGGCUGGCGGAAUUCCCGGUGUAGCGGUGGAAUGCGUAGAGAUCGGGAAGAACAUCGGUGGCGAAGGCGGCCAGCUGGGCCAUUGCUGACGCUGAGGCGCGACAGCGUGGGGAGCAAACGGG